rnacentral:rRNA from 1 species
UACGUAGGGACCGAGCGUUGUCCGGAAUCAUUGGGCGUAAAGAGCGUGUAGGCGGCUUGCUAAGUCUUGCGUGAAAUCUCGGGGCUCAACCCCGAGCGGUCGUGGGAAACUGGCAGGCUAGAGUGCGGGAGAGGAGAAUGGAAUUCCUGGUGUAGCGGUGAAAUGCGCAGAUAUCAGGAAGACACCCGUGGCGAAGGCGGUUCUCUGGAACGCAACUGACGCUGAGACGCGAAAGCGUGGGGAGCGAACAGG